rnacentral:lncRNA from 1 species
GCCGAAAAUCCCCCCGAUGCAAAGAAAAUGUAAAUUGCAUUUCUAAACAAAAAAUAUAUAUUAAAAAAAUGCAAAUUUACAUCUUCUUUUACAUCCACAAGAGGUAAAAAGGAUAUUUAGAUCUUUUCAUUGGAGGAAAAUUUAAAUUUAAAUACAAGGGGAUGUCAAUGAAGAUGCAAAAACGAUUUUGAAGAUACUCUAAUGUAAUAAAUGGAAUCAUCAAGCCAGCACAUUCAAGAUAGGCUCAGCAACUUUUCCUAAAAAAUCAGAAUAGAGUGCGCAAGUACAAACAUUUGUACUCGAAAUUGGUGGCAAGUUCAAGACAUUGGCUGUGCAAAUGGGCAGAGAGAAUUAAGCAAGACACAAUAAACUCUCUGAGUUUCCAUAUCUAUCAAGCAAAAAUGUAAUUUGGAGUAUGCAAAGCCAUUCGCCUUCGUUUUAGUUCAUGACAUGAUAACAACAGCAAAGUAACACCUAACAGAACAAAUUUUCUUUAGGAGAAAAUAAAU